CUAGCGGCAGGCCUAACACAUGCAAGUCGAACGGUAACAGGAAGAGCUUGCUCUUCGCUGACGAGUGGCGCACGGGUGCGUAACGCGUAUACAAUCUGCCUCUAACUAAGGGAUAGCCCAGAGAAAUUUGGAUUAAUACCUUAUAAUAUUGUGAUUUGGCAUCUUAUUACAAUUAAAACUCCGGUGGUUAGAGAUGAGUAUGCGUCCUAUUAGCUAGUUGGUAAGGUAACGGCUUACCAAGGCAACGAUAGGUAGGGGGCCUGAAAGGGUGAUCCCCCACACUGGUACUGAGACACGGACCAGACUCCUACGGGAGGCAGCAGUGAGGAAUAUUGCGCAAUGGAGGAAACUCUGACGCAGCCAUGCCGCGUGCAGGAAGAAUGCCCUAUGGGUUGUAAACUGCUUUUAUAUAGGAAGAAACUCCGAUACGUGUAUCGGCUUGACGGUACUAUAUGAAUAAGGACCGGCUAACUCCGUGCCAGCAGCCGCGGUAAUACGGAGGGUCCAAGCGUUAUCCGGAUUUAUUAGGUUUAAAGGGUCCGCAGGCGGGACUUUAAGUCAGUGGUGAAAGCCUACAGCUUAACUGUAGAACUGCCAUUGAAACUGAAGUCCUUGAGUGUGGUUGAAGUGGGCGGAAUAUGUCAUGUAGCGGUGAAAUGCAUAGAUAUGACAUAGAACACCAAUUGCGAAGGCAGCUCACUAAGCCAUUACUGACGCUCAUGGACGAAAGCGUGGGGAGCGAACAGGAUUAGAUACCCUGGUAGUCCACGCCGUAAACGAUGAUCACUCGUUGCUAGCGAUACACUGUUAGUGACCAAGCGAAAGUGUUAAGUGAUCCACC
rnacentral:rRNA from 1 species